rnacentral:lncRNA from 1 species
CUUUCGGAGAAGUACUAAUACCAUUUGCAUAUGCAUUGAUUUUAACCAAUAUGUGCAUUUUUUGUACAUUUUACUAUAAUAUGUGAUUCUUUUUCUAUGCAUUAUUUGACUGGACAGCUGCAAAUCACAAAAUUUGGAGAUGUGUGAAUUUCAAAGAGUGGCUUUGUUUCAGUUUGCAUAUUGUUUUGGAAAGUGCAAAUUGGGGGGGGGGGGUUGGCUUUAAAUGUGAACUUAGUCAAAUUGCUUCCGUACCCCAUCUCCCAAAUAGCUUGCUAUGUUUCUAAGAGCAUAUUUUAUUUCAAAGCAAUUGGUUCUGUGAUACCAGAAUGCUGCUAGAAUAGUUUGCAAACCCUGGGCAAACGCACUAAAAUUAAUGCAGAUAUACUGAAAAUAAUGACUAUGAUUAAGUUACGUCAAUUAAUUUUAAUGGGUCUACUCUGAGGAAAAUGUGGAAUGAACACAGGGUGGUAUUCAACUACCUCAACAAGUAUUUAUGGUCACAUCAGAAGUUGCUUCUAGCCGUUUGCUUUGCAGGGAAUUGCACAGCCAUUAAUGAAUAACGUCUAUUCCUAAACUGAAUGAAAAUUAUCAGUAAUAAACAUGUCAAGAUGAAAUAUGGAUGUGGUAUGUAAAAGGCAUUUCUAUGAAGAAAAUUACAAAUCAAGGGGCUGGGGUCAUGCUACAAGAUGAACCUGACAGAGUGAACUAUUAGAUUUACAAGGAAGGAGACACUUUUUGCAUUGUGCAAUCAGCUCUUUGUAGGGUAAUGUAGCUGACCUCCAGCAGGCCAUGAUGGUAGAGUCAGUAAAUUCCCAAUUGCUUUUUUCUGUGUCUAUACAUCCAGUGAAGUCACAAACAGAUGUACUUUAAGCUAAGUGUCCUUUGCAGAAAAAGACAGAAGGAGCUUCCAAUCAGUUUCUAUUAAAAAACACUUGCCUUUAAUACUGCCUUUAAUAAAAUAUUCUUAGGUGAGUGAGAAGAUGAACCAAUAAAAUAACUAUCAGACACCAACAAACACAGAGAAUGAGAAGUUUGGACACCAUUGGCAACGAGUUUUCACUAGCAUGUACAGCAGCUCAAAGCUUUUUUCUUUUUUUAAAGAAGUUUUAAAAGUCUGCUUAAAGUGGCCAGGCUCCUGGACUUGGUAAUUUUCUUGUGUGAGGUCAUGUCCAAAUGUCAGGGUCAUAGCAGAAAAAGCUAUCCCAGUGAUAAUCACUACUUUUUCAGUAGCUGGCACUAUCUCAGUGUGAAAGAGGAUGCACAUCAGAGAAGGCACUCCCUCAAAUUUCUCAGACCCAGACACUGGUCUUCAGGUGCAUCUGAGAUACUGUCAUUGACUGGCUGGAUACGGAGAAGUGGUGGGAGGCACCUCCAUGGGAACCCCCAGGGGAAGAAGCCCAGAGCCCAGGGAUUGGUGGUGGGAUGGCGAUGAGUGGUCCAAGGCAGAAGAGGGAGCAGACGAGGAAGAGAAGGAGGUGUUGGAAGCUGAAGAGGCAUCAGGGUUUAGUGAGCAGGAAGAGGGUGUGGCAGAGGGCAGUCUAGACUCUGAGGCAGGAGGGGAGAGGGGCCAGGAGACAGAGAUGAGGCUGGCUGCUGAAGAGUCGAGAGUGUCUCCCCCUCUUGCUGCGGCCAGCUCCCUCCCCCUGGUCUCCCAGUCCAUGGAGAGGAAUGAAGAGGGAGGAACAACGAGAGGCAAGAUGAUAGAGUCUUAGGCCUCUGGGGAAGGAACUGGGAGAGGGGUGCCUUCAGUUCCCGCAACUGUCUCAUUAGCCAGAGUUGCUGUGAUCAAGAGACCUGUGCUGUUUUGCUUUCUUUGAAUAUAGAGUUUUCACUGAGGACUCAACUACAUUAGUAAAGAAACAGUGAUUUGAAUGCAACACCAGAUGGCACCAGAUAGCAGGAAAUUUAAAAACACAAUUUUCCAUACAGAUUUUUUCUUUUGUUAUAACGAUCUAAUUUCUAACUUAUUUAUAGCUUUUAGAUCCACCCCGACACUAGUGUUUUUUAUUGCUGACCUACUCCUGACUCUGGCUCCUGACAGAGAGACUGUGGAAGAGGAUGCACAUCAGAGAAGGUCCUCUCUCAGAUAUCUCAGAUCCAGGAACUGGUCCUCAGAUGCAUUUGAGAUGCCCUAGAAAGACUUUAUAAUUUCCCUCUUCAUAGCAGCCAGAAUGGAAAUUUCCAAGUCUUGGGAAAAUAAUUUCUGAGCUAUGGUUGCAAAGUUGGGCUUCCCAAUUAUGGUGCUGGCUGGAAAAAAAAUUACACAUACUAACAAACUUUUCUGAGAUUCUCUUGGGUCCCUUCCAACUCUAAGAUUCUAUGAUUUUAAGGAGUUAAGUUGCUCCCGAUCCAUUUGUCUGAUUUUCAUUCAUAUUUUUGUAAACAUGAGUGUACAGGGCAUUCAGGCUGCUAAAGUGCAGGAGUCAUUUUGGAAGAAUACCUUGGUACAGUGAGUUUCUAUGAUAACAGCGGUAUGUCAGUGCCCUCUUCUCAGUGAUGGAUUUAGGGCGGUGUGGGUGGCUUCCCCUCACAGGACGCUGAGCUGAGGGGGUGCAAAAUUGAGAAGAUCCAUAACUGAAAAGAUCCAUCCAGGAAUAAAAUCCUAUCUUAUUUAUUUAUUUCUUUAAAAGGGAGAGAGAAAAUAUCCCUUUGGGGUUACCAAUUUUUGUCCUCACUCAGGGCGUCCUAUUACAAAAGAUUACCAGAGAGUCCUCCCCUGGUCUUACUCAGCUUCAUGAAGAAGGGAAAAAUACCUCACAAUGUGAAUGAGGAGAAAAUUGUCUGUGUUGAGUAUAACCUUGUUUGAUUUUUUGUGAUGUUCAGUUUUCUUGUUUGCUACUUUGCAAAAUACUAAAAAACUUUUUUUUAAAAAGGGAGAAAGUGAAAAGUUCUUUAGUGGAAAGCACAUUGUUUCACAUGUUGGGGCAUCAAAUUUUCAUAACCAGUGCAGCCCUCUGUACAGCAUAUCCCUUUCUGCUCCAGGAGGCCCCCAGUUCUUUGCUGUAGCUUUUCCAGGAACUUGGGACUUAAGUGGGUAGCAGAGAUGUGUGAAAAUCAGCAGCCAUGACUUGUGCGAGCUUUUCACUGUGGCACAGCUGCUGUUGGGUGCAGUCCAUAGGAACAUUUGAGGUCCUGUGAAACCACCCCAAUAUAGCACAAAAGCUGAGAAACCAAUGCUAUGAGUUUGAUAUCCUAAUGUCUUGCAUUGGUAUUUUUGGUCAGUGGUGGGGAAACUCAAGCCAGUUGUGGUCCUCCAGGCUUCUCUGCUUGGCCUUCAGAACACCCUCCAGGCCUCACCUCUCACUGGUCCUGCUGGUUAGAGGAUAAAGAGGGGCCUGUGAGUAUGUGUACAAACUAGUCAACAUUCAUGGCUCCUCCCACUUUUGCCUUUGGCCACACCCACCAUUGGCAUGGGGCCCUCAGACUGGAAUGUGGACCUAGGAUUGGAAAUCCCCUUCCACUCUGUCUUUAGGUUUUCCUUCUAGUAUGUAUAACCAAUGUGGAACAAUGCCUAAACUGUUAUUAUGAAAUAUUGAAACAGUAACUCCCCCACUUCCCGCAGUGAAAUUACAUGGCAAAAGUAGAUGGAGCAUUCAAAUCUAUGGCAGCCAUAAGCAGAAAGAGCAGCAGAGGCAAUAGCUUUAAAGUCCCUGAGUGUUCCCAUUAUAACCUCUGUUUUCAGGGGUCAGAAAUGAGCCACAACCACUUGUAUAAAAAUGAAACAAUAAUUUAGCAACCCAUCAGGUGAUCUGAGAGUUUCAAAGGCCAUUUUUAUGGCAGCAGUGGGAGGGAAUAAAGCAAAUUGUUACCACUUCAUCUAUGAAAAAAGAAGAAGUUGGGAGUUAUUUAUAGAGGCUAAAAAUUGUCUUAGAUAAGUAAAAAAAUCUCUGAAAUUUCAGAUAUUUGCAGCUGUAGGUAAAAAUAGUUAGUAAACAGAUGUACUGGCUAUAUUUGAAGCAUGAAUUUCCUACCCCCACUCACUGAAACUGCACUGUUAUCCUAUUGUUGCUUUCAAAUUCCACCCACACAUUCAGGAGCCUAUGACUGAUCUAUUUUUAUUUUAUUUUUAUUUUUUUGCAGUGCAAUAUUUCCCCUGGUUCACCUAAUACUUGGCAAUUCCACUUGGCAGGCUGGGUACAAUUACAUAUUGAGUUACUGAGCUUAUAAACCAUGUAUUAAAAAUAUUCAGACACAUCUUUGAACAUUCUGUUUCAAUUAGCUCAAGGAGAACUUUCGGUUGGAGGCUGUUCCUGUGUUUGGUUUUAAAUCAAGGGUUCCAGACUUUGUGUUAAACUCGCUUCUUCCUAUGCUUCUUGAAGAUGGCUCUUGCACAUUAAUAUGCAGACUCCCUCCAAAGAUCACACAUCUCUCAUUGACUUUCAGUAGUGCUUUUAAUAUC